rnacentral:rRNA from 1 species
GAGAAAUUCCAAUCGAACCCGGAGAUAGCUGGUUCUCCCCGAAAUAGUUUUAGGACUAGCCUCAAGUUAGAUACCUGGAGGUAAAGCACUGAAUAGCCUAGCGGCCGAGAGGUUAGCGAAGCUUAUCAAACUCAGAAUGCCAGAGUAUUGAUGCUUGGGAGUCAGACAGUGUCAGAUAAAUGUCAUUGUCAAAAGGGAAACAGCCCAGAUCUACAGCUAAGGUCCCAAAGUCAGGUUAAGUGGAAAACGAUGUGAAGAUACGUAGACAACCAGGAUGUUGGCUCAGAAGCAGCCACACAUUCAAAGAGUGCGUAAUAGCUCACUGGUCGAGCGUCUUUGCGCGGAGAAUUUAACGGGGCUAAACCUGACACCGAAGCUUAGGCAAUACAGCAAUGUAUUGGGUAGGGGAGCGUUGUAUACGCGGUGAAACAGUAGCGCAAGCGGCUGUGGAGUGUAUAGAAGUGAGAAUGCCGGAAUGAGUAGCGCGAAUGCAGUGAGAAUCUGCAUGGCCGAAAGCCUCAGGUUUCUGGAGGAAGGUUCGUCCGCUCCAGGUUAGUCGGGAGCUAAGGUGAGGCCUAACGGCGUAGCCGAUGCACAGACGGUAGAGAUUCCGUCACCACCAAAAGAGUUAAACACAGGGACACAUUUGAAGUCUCGGAGCCGGGUGUUGGUUCCGGUAGCGAUCGAGGGAAAUUAGUACCGAAGUCCGGGAUGGAAGAUGGCGAGAAAAGCUGUGUGUAUUUCUGAGGUGCCCGUACCGCAAACCGACACAGGUAGGUAGGAAGAAGAUUCUAAGGCCAACGGGAGAAGGGUUGUUAAGGAACUCGGCAAAUUGACCCCGUAACUUCGGGAGAAGGGGUGCUCCAGAGAUGGAGCCGCAGAGAAUCGGCCCAAGCAACUGUUUACCAAAAACACAGGUUUGUGCUAAAUCGAAAGAUGACGUAUACGAGCUGACGCCUGCCCGGUGCUGGAAGGUUAAGAGGAGAUGUGCAAGCAUUGAAUCGAAGCCCCAGUGAACGGCGGCCGUAACUAUAACGGUCCUAAGGUAGCGAAAUUCCUUGUCAGGUAAGUUCUGACCCGCAUGAAAGGCGUAAUGAUUUGGGCACUGUCUCGACAGCCCGCCCGGCGAAAUUGUAGUACCGG